AGCAAGUAAGUCUGGUUUUCAAGUUUCUUUUUUAAAUUUGUUUCUUUAGUAUUAGUGCUAGGAUUUUAGCUAUGGUGAGUUUUAGACUUAGAGUAAACUUAGAGCUGGUGUUAGAAAGAGGGUUAGAUACAAACUUAAAAAUGGAGCCAUGUGAACAUUAAAUUUAAAGUUCCUAUGGUUAGGGUUAGGGACAGAUAUUGGUGUAACACUGGGAUGGGGGUAUAAUUACUGUUGAAAAUGAUUUACAGUUAGUUUUAGUCCUAGUUUUACUACUUGGGUUAUAUGUUCAGUUAGGCUAGUUUAAUUCUUAUUGGGAGGCAAUUCCCAGGACAAUGUUACCUGGGUUCUAUCAGCUUUUAUUCUAGAGUAUUUUUUCAGGGAUGUUUGUAGACAGCCUCAGGCAGGGAGCACAGAUUUUCCUAACGUGUAAGAGAAGACAAUGUCUCCCUCCAGGACAUGGUUGGUCAGGUUAGCUCGUGGUUCACCAGAGAAGACUGGAAGUUCUAAGCUUGGAGUUUCUCAGCUAUGCCCACUGUACCUGAAGCAUACAAGUGGCCUCUUCACAUGGCCUUUGGGACUUGAAAGACAAGGGGCGCUAAUGCAAGCCCGCUCCUGUUCAUUCUGACUGCUGUCUUAUGAGUAAACUUGGCCUGUGUUUUAUGUC